UAUUCCGAGAACACAUUUCAAGUGAAUAACACUCCUAUUUGAGUUCAUUACGGUCGGGCUUUGUGUACUGAUGGGCAUGGAUAUAAAGUGGGGUCAAGGAAUAGACGUAUCAUUUCCAUGCUUUUGUAGCCCCCUCCUUUAUAGCUCAAAGGAGAACCAGCCUAGUUUACUCAAAUCUGUGGUGUAUUUUACAUACAUCCUGGACUGGGAGAGGCACAGUUCGCCCAAGACGAAGCUCAUCAUGUCUGGACCUCUCCCCACAUACAGACAUGGAGUUGAAAGGUUCAGUAGACUCUUCGCCUUAAACGAGUGGUUAAUAUCACGGUGCAACGAAGAGAAUCUGCUCUUUGUUAAUAACUGGAAUCUACGGAGCCCCCCUAGUGUCAGGUAAGAGAAAAAAACACAGCCGUGUGUAAUCCGUGCCCUCAGUUUUGCAAUCCGUACCUUCGGUUUUGCAAUCCGUGCCCUCGGUUUUGCAAACCGUGCCCUCGGUUUUGUAAACCGUACCCUCAGUUUUGCAAUCCGUGCCCUCGGUUUUGUAAACCGUGCUCUCGGUUUGUACUCUGUGUGCGCUUCCUUCUUCACUUCUUUCUGCAGCAAACAAGAGACCAUAGGACUUUUCGACGGCGUACAUCUGCCUGAAUGGACCAGAUUUUAGACAUGUUCCUUCGAGAACAACCGAGGUUAAGGAGGUUAUUGCCACCUUCAUCAAUGAAAAGAUUGACUGCCAUGCUGUCCAUGGUAUGACAGAUGACCAGCUAAUUAAAUAUGUGCCCAAAAUUGGAGAUCGGACAGCUAUUCGGCAGUACUGCAGAAGAGAAGUGGCUGCAUUGGAAGGAACCACCGCAACUAUCUCUAAGGCUACAGAAAGCCUGAUGGCAAAAAAAAAAAACAAAGACGGGCCUCCAAGAGAAGUCGUGGGGAUGAUCGUUCAGAAAAAUUGUCGGGUAACACUAAUGCUCUGAAAACGGAGCAUGCUUUUCAAAUGGAAUUGUUUGAAGAAGUAGGGGACUCUUGUAUUCAGGUAAAAGAAAAAAGGGGAGGAGGGAUCAGACAUUUGAAAGCAUUGAAGACUACUACAAUGGCACAACUGUUGGAGACUGGCAAAGAACUCUUUUUUCCAAAUGUAAAAUGUAAAAUAGGCAAUGCCAAUGAAUUUGAAUUCACCAUGUGAGAUGUUACUGAAGAUCAGCUGGAUCCAUUGACCACACUAGCUCAGCAAUAUGAGAAGAGAAAAGUUAAAUUGUUGAGACUGUAUCUAUCUUGCAAAAAGAUUGACAUUGAAGGAGAUGAAACACUGAAUGCUGCUACCUCACCUGGUGAAUCACAAAAUGCAUCAGCCCUCACAAGUGAAUCAUGCUGUGCAGCUGCUGCUUCACAUGGAGCUGUUUCCAUAAUUGGAUCUCCCAGUGGAACUGCUUUCACAACUGGAACUCCAAGUACAAGUGAAUUUGCCAGUCCAAUGUCGAGUGAAACUUUAAAUGUCGUAGAUUACAGUAUCUCUUUGUAAAUAUUUGAUUAUAUCUUUUCAU